rfam:Corynebacterium marinum DSM 44953, complete genome.
GUGUGUUUGUGUAAGGGCACAUGGUGGAUGCCUUGGCAUACUGGGCCGAUGAAGGACGUGUGAGGCUGCGUUAAGCCUCGGGGAGCUGCCAACAGAGCGUUGAUCCGAGGAUGUCCGAAUGGGGAAACCCGGCCGCCGUGAUGGGCGGUCACCCUUCAGUGAAUUCAUAGCUGUUGUGGAGGUUGACGCGGGGAAGUGAAACAUCUCAGUACCCGUAGGAAGAGAAAAUAACUUUAAUGAUUCCGUUAGUAGUGGCGAGCGAACGCGGAUGAGGCUAAACCGUGUGUGUGUGAUACCCGGCAGGGGUUGCGCAUGCGGUGUUGUGGGAUGCGAUGUGGGUGGUCUGCCGGCCAUCUGCGCGUGCAUGCGUGGUCAGCGGAAGUGGUCUGGGAAGGCCCACCGGAGUGGGUGAGAGUCCCGUACGUGAAGACUGUGUGUGGCGUGUUGUCGUAUUCCCGAGUAGCAGCGGGCACGUGAAAUCUGCUGUGAAUCUGCCGGGACCACCCGGUAAGCCUAAAUACCCAGUAUGACCGAUAGCGGAUUAGUACCGUGAGGGAAUGGUGAAAAGUACCCCGGGAGGGGAGUGAAAUAGUACCUGAAACCGUGUGCCUACAAUCCGUCAGAGCACCUCUUGUGUGUGAUGGCGUGCCUUUGGAAGAAUGAGCCUGCGAGUCAGCGGCAUGUCGCGAGGUUAACCCGGUGAGGGGUAGCCGUAGCGAAAGCGAAUACUAACUAGUGUGGAUUAGUGGCAUGUCCUGGACCCGAAGCGGAGUGAUCUACCCAUGGCCAGUGUGAAGCGACGGUAAGACGUCGUGGAGGCGCGAACCCACUUAGGUUGAAAACUGAGGGGAUGAGUUGUGGGUAGGGGUGAAAGGCCAAUCAAACUCCGUGAUAGCUGGUUCUCCCCGAAAUGCAUUUAGGUGCAGCGUUGCGUGGUGCUUGCCGGAGGUAGAGCUACUGGUUGGUUGAGCGGGACUACAAUCUUAGCAAUGUCAGCCAAACUCCGAAUGCCGGUUAAGUUAGCGCAGCAGUGAGACUGUGGGGGAUAAGCUUCAUGGUCGAGAGGGAAACAGCCCAGAUCGCCGGCUAAGGCCCCUAAGGGUGUACUAAGUGGAAAAGGAUGUGGGAUCGCGAAGACAGCCAGGAGGUUGGCUUAGAAGCAGCCAUCCUUGAAAGAGUGCGUAAUAGCUCACUGGUCGAGUGGUCCUGCGCCGACAAUGUAAUGGGGCUCAAGUACACCGCCGAAGCCGCGGCAAUGAUCUUCAGUGAUCGUUGGGUAGGGGAGCGUCGUGCACGCGGUGAAGCAGUACCGUGAGGGGCUGUGGAGUGUGUGCGAGUGAGAAUGCAGGCAUGAGUAACGAAUUGGCAAGUGAGAAUCUUGCCCGCCGGAUGACUAAGGGUUCCUGGGUCAAGUUCGUCUUCCCAGGGUGAGUCGGGACCUAAGGCGAGGCCGACAGGCGUAGUCGAUGGACAACGGGUUGAUAUUCCCGUACCCGUGUAUGUGCGCCCAUGGUGAAUCAGUGAUACUAACCACCCAUAAUCCUUCCGUGUCGGGCUUUGCCCGGUGUGGUCGGGGCGUGCGUGGAGCCUGAUCUGGUAGUAGCCAAGUGAUGGGGUGACGCAGUGGGGUAGCCGUGCCACUUAUUGGAUUGUGGUGUAAGCGUGUAGCACGAGGGGACAGGUAAAUCCGCCCCUCAUACAAGUGUGAGACGUGAUGCGUAGCCCCUUUGUGGGUGAUGUCGGUGAUCCCGUGCUGUCGAGAAAAGCCUCUAGCGAUGUACAUACAUGGCCCGUACCCCAAACCGACACAGGUAGUCAGGUAGAGAAUACUAAGGCGUUCGGGUGAACUGUGGUUAAGGAACUCGGCAAAAUGCCCCCGUAACUUCGGGAGAAGGGGGGCCUGCGCUGGUGAAGCAUCUUGCAUGUGGAGCUGGUGUGGGUCGCAGAGAAUAGAGGGAAGCGACUGUUUAUUAAAAACACAGGUCCGUGCGAAAACGAUAAGUUGAUGUAUACGGACUGACGCCUGCCCGGUGCUGGAAGGUUAAGAGGACCGGUUAGGGGAGUAAUCCCCGAAGCUGAGAAUUUAAGCCCCAGUAAACGGCGGUGGUAACUAUAACCAUCCUAAGGUAGCGAAAUUCCUUGUCGGGUAAGUUCCGACCUGCACGAAUGGCGUAACGACUUCCCUGCUGUCUCAACCACAGGCCCGGUGAAAUUGCAGUACGAGUAAAGAUGCUCGUUACGCGCGGCAGGACGAAAAGACCCCGGGACCUUCACUAUAGCUUGGUAUUGGUGUUCGGUUCGGUUUGUGUAGGAUAGGUGGGAGACGUAGAUCACAUCACGCCAGUGGUGUGGGAGUCGUUGUUGAAAUACCACUCUGAUCGGACUGGACACCUCAACCUUGGCCCAUGAUCUGGGUCGGGGACAGUGCCUGGUGGGUAGUUUAACUGGGGCGGUUGCCUCCUAAAUAGUAACGGAGGCGCCCAAAGGUUCCCUCAGCCUGGUUGGCAAUCAGGUGUUGAGUGUAAGUGCACAAGGGAGCUUGACUGUGAGAGUGACAACUCGAGCAGGGACGAAAGUCGGGACUAGUGAUCCGGCACCAACUAGUGGAUGUGGUGUCGCUCAACGGAUAAAAGGUACCCCGGGGAUAACAGGCUGAUCUUCCCCAAGAGUCCAUAUCGACGGGAUGGUUUGGCACCUCGAUGUCGGCUCGUCGCAUCCUGGGGCUGGAGUAGGUCCCAAGGGUUGGGCUGUUCGCCCAUUAAAGCGGCACGCGAGCUGGGUUUAGAACGUCGUGAGACAGUUCGGUCUCUAUCCGCCGCGCGCGUAGAAACUUGCGGAAGGCUGUCCCUAGUACGAGAGGACCGGGACGGACGUACCUCUGGUGUGCCAGUUGUUCCGCCAGGAGCAGGGCUGGUUGGCUACGUACGGAAGGGAUAACCGCUGAAAGCAUCUAAGCGGGAAGCCUGUUUCAAGAUGAGGUUUCAUUUGAGGUUCCCCAUAGAUGAUGGGGUUGAUAGGCCGGAUCUGGACGCACAGCAAUGUGUGGAGGUGACCGGUACUAAUACACCGACAACAACACACCA